CCUACGGGUGGCAGCAGUGAGGAAUAUUGGUCAAUGGGCGCGAGCCUGAACCAGCCAAGUAGCGUGAAGGAUGACUGCCCUACGGGUUGUAAACUUCUUUUAUAAAGGAAUAAAGUGAUGCACGUGUGCCUUUUUGUAUUUACUUUAUGAAUAAGGAUCGGGUAACUCCGUGCCAGCAGCCCCGGUAAUACGGAGGAUCCGAGCGUUAUCCGGAAUUAUUGGGUUUAAAGGGAGCGUAGAUGGGUUGUUAAGUCCGUUGUGAAAGUUUGCGGCUCAACCGUAAAAUUGCAAUUGAUACUGGCAGCCUUGAGUACAGUUGAGGUAGGCGGAAUUCGUGGUGUAGCGGUGAAAUGCUUAGAUAUCACGCAGAACUCCGAUUGCGAAGGCAGCUUACUAAACUGCCACUGACAUUGAUGCUCGAAAGUGUGGGUAUCAAACAGGAUUAGAUACCCCAGUAGUC
rnacentral:rRNA from 1 species